rnacentral:rRNA from 1 species
AACUCCAGGGAGACUGCCGGUGAUAAACCGGAGGAAGGUGGGGACGACGUCAAGUCAUCAUGGCCCUUACGAGUAGGGCUACACACGUGCUACAAUGGCGCAUACAGAGGGCGGCCAACUUGCGAGAGUGAGCGAAUCCCAAAAAGUGCGUCGUAGUCCGGAUUGGAGUCUGCAACUCGACUCCAUGAAGUCGGAAUCGCUAGUAAUCGUGGAUCAGAAUGCCACGGUGAAUACGUUCCCGGGCCUUGUACACACCGCCCGUCACACCAUGGGAGUGGGCUGCAAAAGAAGUAGGUAGUUUAACCUUCGGGGGGACGCUUACCACUUUGUGGUUCAUGACUGGGGUGAAGUCGUAACAAGGUAGCGCUAGGGGAACCUGGCGCUGGAUCACCUCCUUA